UUCCCCACUCGUACUAGGGAGGGAAAAUUCCCCCCUUUUAUUUUCACGAAGAGCCAAAACCCCUACCCCCGCUCUCUCUCUCAUCAAAAAAUCGCCCCCAAACCCGUGCUUCUUCUCUGAAGUUCGUCUCCUUCGUCGGAGAUCACCGCCGCCAUCGUCGGAGAGCUGAAGGCCGAGGCCCAAUACAACACGCCACAGCACUCCCAGUCUCAAGCCCGGCGCGCGCGCGAGAGGGAGACGGAGAGGGAGGAGCGGCGGUCCUGGAUCUAUCUACAUGGUGGUCAUAUUACGUCUUGGAAAAACAACCAUAGGGAUGAGUUACUCUUUGUCAGCAAUAAGAUGGAGAUAUAGCUGUGGUGCAAGCAAAUAUGGAAGGGAAACUAUAUGCUCUCAGAAAAAAAAAGAAUGAAAAGAAAGAAAGAAAGAAGGGAAAUCUGAUAGUGAAUAUCCUUCUUUCGUUAUUUCAUAAUUUCCAAGUCUUUUGUCUUUUUUUUAAAGAAAGAAAUUCUUAUAAGGUCUAAUGUCCAAAGUUUUUCAGAUAUUUCACGGCUUAGAGAAUCUUACUUUUAAUUCUCCUGUAUGAUGUUAUUUGAUCUGUUGUUUGGUUGAACGGUCUUUUUUUCUUUGCUUGUCACUUACAUCUUAUAUCUUCCCUAUUAAUUUUCUUGUUGUAUUCAUUUAUCAGGUGCUACUGUACAUAAUUUCUUAAUUUGUUGGGAAACCUAGACACGAAUGCUAGGUUAGACUGGAUCUCUUCAAUUCAACUUGGGCGAGGUUUACUUAUCACAUUGAAUUUACAGAAAUUCAUCUUUCAUCAUGUCCAACAUGAUAUCUUCUUCCUGCUGUGGACUGAAGUAAUGCCAACAGCUAUUUUCAAGCCUCCGAAAGCAAUACGUGGGGGCAUCUCAAUAUGCUUUCCUCGAUUUGGGACACAUGGAUUUCUUGAACAACAUGGUUUUGCAACGAACCGUACAUGGAGCAUUGACACAGAUCCUCCAUCUCUUCCAUCUGACAGCUCCAAUACAACUUUUGUUGAUCUGAUUCUUAAGCCAUCUGAAGGAGAUCUCAAAUUUUGGCCUCACAGGAAAUAAUCAAAGAACUGAUGGAAAUGCUACCAUACAUGAAAGAGCUUAUGGAUAUGUAUUGUGGCCCUAAUAGAGUGACUGCAAAGUAACAAAUGUGGGAGUUAGACAGAGUCGCAAAAACUCUACCAGAGAAUAAACAUUCAUUUGUGAAGAGGUUCACUGAUCGUGUCGUUCUUUCACUUCAAGUUUUUUUUCCAACUUAGUUUAGUUUCCUGUAAAUCUUAUAAUGUGUCAUUCUCUGAAAUGGAAAACAUUGAAUAUGGCAAACUGGAAUAUUUAAACAGGCCUUUGAGUGUUGACUUGGAAUUGAAAAUGAAUGUAAUUAUUUUGCAAUGGGAGCAAAUUCUUUGUUUAUCAUAA